rnacentral:rRNA from 1 species
CCUACGGGAGGCUGCAGUGAGGAAUAUUGGUCAAUGGACGAGAGUCUGAACCAGCCAAGUAGCGUGAAGGAUGACUGCCCUAUGGGUUGUAAACUUCUUUUAUAAAGGAAUAAAACGAGGCACGUGUGCCUUUUUGCAUGUACUUUAUGAAUAAGGAUCGGCUAACUCCGUGCCAGCAGCCGCGGUAAUACGGAGGAUCCGAGCGUUAUCCGGAUUUAUUGGGUUUAAAGGGAGCGUAGAUGGGUUGUUAAGUAAGUUGUGAAAGGUUGCGGCUCAACCGUAAAAUUGCAAUUGAAACUGGCAGUCUUGAGUACAGUUGAGGUAAGCGGAAUUCGUGGUGUAGCGGUGAAAUGCUUAGAUAUCACGAAGAACCCCGAUUGCGAAGGCAGCUUACUAAACUGUGACUGACAUUGAUGCUCGAAAGUGUGGGUAUCAAACAGGAUUAGAUACCCGGGUAGUC